GAAGGUGCCGCCGCCGGCGGGGCGGACUCCGUUUCCCAGCGUGCCCGCAGGGGGUGGCAUGGCGGCGGGAGGAUGACACCGGAGUUUGACGAAGAAGUGGUGUUUGAGAAUUCACCACUCUACGAGUAUCUGCAGGAUUUGGGACACACUGAUUUUGAAGUAUGUUCACCUGUGUCACAGAAGGCAAAGCAAUGUGCAGUAGAGGAAGGCCAGAGAGAGAGGACUGUGCACACUGCCCAGAAACAAAGCAUCCUGUCAAAACUAGUUGAGUUCUUCAGAAGUUGGUUUCCCUUUCCACAGUAUAAGAAAAACGAUGACAUACUGCACCGAUUGGAUGUUGGAUUUCGAUUUGACACGCUCCGUACCAUCCUGCAACAGGAAGUUCUGCUGCAGGAGGAUGUGGAACUGAUUGAGUUCCUUGACCCGAGUAUCCUGUCUGCAGGGCAGUGUAAGCAACAGGAAAAUGGACAGCUUCCAACACUACGCUCCCUAGCAACUCCUAAUAUUUGGGAUAUCUCACUCUUGCUUGCCUUUGUAAGUGCCCUGCUUAUGCUUCCUUCAUGGUGGAAGGAGUCAUCAUGGCUACCGUGGGGACUGGUUCUGCUUGUGUAUGCAGUCUUUCGAGUGUGGGCCACAUGGAGGACAGCCAAGCUACAAAUGUCCCUGCAAAAAUACUGUACCCAGCUGGAAGAAACAGUAGCAAAUAGUCGAGCUUUUACUAAUCUUGUGAGGAAAGCUCUACGGCUCAUUCAAGAGACUGAAGUAAUUUCCAGAGGAUUUACCCUUUUGCUUGACAGGGUCAGUGCCGCUUGCCCACUUAAUAAAGCUGGACAGCAUCCUAGUCAGCAUCUUAUUGGUCUCCGGAAAGCCGUCUAUCGGUCUGUCAGAGCCAACUUCCGAGCUUCAAGACUGGCUACUCUGUACAUGCUGAAAAACUACCCUCUGAACUCUGAGAGCGACAACGUGACCAGCUACAUCUGUGUAGUCCCUUUUAAGGACCUGGGACUGGGACUGAGUGAAGAGCAGGUAUCUGAGGAGGAGGCACACAAUCUCACGGAUGGCUUCAGCUUGCCUGCACUCAAGGUUCUCUUUCAGCUAUGGGUAGGGCAGAGUUCGGAGUUCUUCAGGAGACUGGUACUGCUUCUCUCCCCAGCCAAUGCAUCCCCCAAGCCCUUGAUCUCCCCUGAACGGUUGCCUCAUCAUAUCCUGUCUGAUGUGACUCAAGGCCUACCUCAUACACAUGCUGCCUGCUUAGAGGAGCUCAAGAGAAGCUAUGAGUUUUAUCGGUACUUUGAAACUCAGCAUCAGUCAGGUUUUGAACGACCAACCAGAACAAAACAGAAGUCAAGAGAGUUGAACAGCCUUCAAACAGCAGUACGCAGUCUGCAGCUUCAUCUCAAGGCACUGCUGAAUGAGGUAAUAAUUCUUGAGGAUGAACUUGAAAAACUUGUUAGCACUAAGGAGACACCUGAAUUAACAACAGAAGCGCACCAGGUUCUGGAACAAAAACUAAAGUUUAUUCAGCCUCAUAUGCAGGCAAGCAACAGCUGCUGGGAAGAAGCCAUUUCUCAGGUGGAGAAAAUGGGUGGAAGAAACCCAAAUAAAAAAGGCAAGCUUGAAGCUUCCUGUGAUAACCUACAGCACACUUCAGUACCUUUAAUACAGCCUACUGUGUACAUAGAAGACAGAGAUCCCAUCCCUGAAGAACAGGAAUUGGAAGCCUAUGUUGAUUAUUCUGAUAUGGACAAUGAAUAUAACAGGGAAGCUUUUGACUGCUUUUCCCAGGAAGAGAGAGAGAGACAAAAACGAGAGAGAGAGGAAUCUAAAAGGGUGUUGCAAGAAUUGAAAUCUGUACUGGGAUUUAAAGCUUCAGAAGCAGAAAGGCAGAAAUGGAAACAACUCCUAUUCAGUGACCAUGCUGCAGUGAAACCCUUGUCUCCUGUAGAGUCAUUGAAGCUCCUAAAUAAUUUGGAAUCACACAUGAAUUCAAAUACAGAAAAGCAGGACUGCAGCCAAAGUUGUGAUAAAUCUGAAGAAAGCGACUCUAAUUCAGAAGUGAAUGCUGCUGAUAAAAGCAGGACAGAAUAUUUGUAUGAAGAUCCUGAGAUGGAGAGAAACAAAGACAGUCCUACUGAAGGUGUUUCUACAGAGGCUGAAGAGACAAUGUGCUAUCAGUAUGAAGGGGAAGUUGAAGAUCUCAAGCCAAGCGAUACGGAUAGAGUAGAAGUUUCACAGCCUCCCUCUGUGGAUGCACUGCAUUCAAAAAUAAAGCAUAGGCUGGCUCAGCUUCACAUAUCAACAGAUUUUAACUUCACAUCCGGUCUGGCUGCACAAGCUGCUGCCAGGUCUUUCUCUUUUACUACAAUGCAGGAACAGACUUUUGGAGAUGAUGAUGAGGAUGAAGAGGAGGAGAAGGAGGAAGGGAAGGGGCAAGAACAUGAAGACCUGAUGGAAGAUUUUAGGUAUGAAGGUGGUGGCUCUGAGAGUGAAGGAGAAGUACAAGCCUGAUCUGAACUUUUAAAAACCAACAACAGACAAUUUGGUAGGAAAAAAGAAAAACAAAAAAAACUAACGUGGGGGUCUGAAGUUAAAAAUGCUGAAUGGAGAAAAACAAAAAAAUAAAAUAAAAAAAAAAUUGGGAGACCUAAAUGUAAUACGUCUUGUUCCCUAAGUCUGAGACACUAAAUGGGACUCCUGAGUAUGUGGAAAAUUUGCAGGAACCUUCACCUGCAUUUCCUGGCCCUCCUGUUCCUUUAUGGACUUCAGAGCACUCACUCCUCAAUGGUCAUAAGAUGGUAAUGUCUCCCCAGCAAGUCUGAUCCUUUAACAUGUUCAUCACUACAUGAACUCUACCUGUUCUUUCCAACAGGAAGGGUGCACAGAAUAGGCUGAGUAGGAGUUCCUCUAAAUAAACUUGCUUUUUCCUGCAGCAGGGGAGAGAAUGUGCUCUCUGUUGCUGUGCCAAUGUGCUUUGGCCCCACAGCUGCCUGUCCGGAAGCUCCAGAAGCUCUGAAAUCUAAGCAGUUGUUCUUAAACCUUUCCCGCUGCCAUAGAGUGUAUGUGUUCACAACACAAUUGCUACUGAAUCUCCUCUGAAUCCAAAUUGUUCUGAACUUUUAUCGAGCAGCGUGAAUGGAUUGUUUCUAAAGGGGUUUAUACACUCUUUGUACGCACGUGUGUACGCACACACACACGCUUCAUAUAGUACAUGUGCAUUGCCAGGUAUCACACUGACAGUCUCAUCUAGCAAAGAAGUCGUAUUUUUAUGUUAUCAAACUUUCAAGUUACUCAGAAGAAAAGCUUAAUUCUUGUUUAUCUAACGGAAGAGAAUUUUCUACCAAGUAGGCUGCAUGGAGUUACUUAAAAUGCACCCUGCUUUUACACCAUUAGUUAGAGAAGCUAUUUAACCAAGUUUUCUCUUACCAGGGCUUCGUACCUGAGCUGCUGUGAGUGCCUGUAUGCCCAUCUGCCCUGCCUUAAGCCUCUAAACAAAUACACUUUUCUCAGCAUUUCCUGCCUAAGUCUUAGCAUUUCCCAAAAUAAGGCCUAAGGGCACCCUAGAUUUCCAAGAAAACCAAAGGAAAAGAAAGAAUCUUGAUAAGCUGCUUUUUAAUUGGUUAAUAAAUGAAAGCUAAGCUAUAAGAGGAAAUGUUUGAAAGAACAAACUGCAACAAGAGACUUCUGGCAGGGCUACAGAGGGAAUUCACACAUGAUACUCUCUGAAGUUCAGACGCUGGAAAGGAUCUACAAUUCCUUUUCAGUGUGGAGACAGGAAAUACUCACCAGACUGGUAGUCUUCAGCAGCUCUUAAAAAAAGAGCUAUAUUUUAGCUACAUUUCAUUGCCACAGAAAGAUUCCUGCUGUGCUGUUGUAUCAAGCUGUAUGUAAAUCUAUCUCCUUUUUAUUUUCUUUUUUUUUUUUUUUCUUUUUUUCUUUAAAGCUGAGUACGAUGUCAGUCACUUUCCUUAGGCGGCACUGAAAAAUCUGGUUUGGCUCCACUGGGGGCCUCUUCUGCACCCAGCCUGCCAGUUGUUGGCAUUGCUUUAAGCACAGUGUUGUUCAGAUCGGCCUCAAGCAGGCUUAGAUAAGCAGUGCUUUAAAGCAGGUGUGAAGCCUAUGGGCUGUCCACAUUAAGGCUUUGAGAACUAAAACCCUGGAUUGGAUGCCAGGAGCAGGAGGACAUGACCCACUUGUAUUCCUGGGCUUCUGCCCUUCCGUUGGGACAGAGGUGCUUGACUGUGAAAUUCUCCCCAGUUCUCAUCUUUCUCUUUCUCUUGCUUUUCCAUUUUAUAUCAUUCCUUUUUUCCCAAGGAUAUGAAACAGGACCUGAGGUCCUUUGCCAGUUUUAGAAAGCAUUUUCUCAAUUGUAAUUUUAAUCAUUGUGAAAGUACUUUGUGUUUCUAUUAUUUCUUCAGGGUCUGUAAUAAAAGUCUGCUUCACUAUUGCAUGUGUGACCCUUUCUCCUUAUCUCAUAUCCCUGACAGCUGUCUAGGUGGCAUGAGUACUGUUUACCUAUCCUUCAGUAAGUAAUGAUUGAAUGGAAGAGGGAAUGCUUUUACAGCAUCGCUGCAUAAAUGCUGUAUCAGCGCUGUUGUUCAGUCUCUUAUGCAGAAGCUUCUUUAUAAUUUCACUUUCAUCCUGAAGAUGAAAUUCAUUUUAAGCGAUCUUGGCUAUAGUUAAUUCCUGCAGUGUAUUUUGCUGGCUCGUUAGUACGAGCACUUUAGUAAUGAGCACUGGUUACUCCUGCUUGUGUAAGUGCUGACUGAGGAAAGAAUGUUUUUCUGGGUGUCCUAUGCUUCUGGCUGCACUUUCUCAUAAUCUUUCAGAGACCCAUAUGCUGUGCAACCAUGUGGUGAUUAUUACCAGAAUCCCUUUUAGCAUUACGUAAGUGGCUCUGUGCAUGGGGCUUUAGGAAUAGAAUAACAGAAGACCAAUAGCAGGUAGAUCUUUAACCUAGGAACUGGGCUUAGAUGUCCUGCAGGAGAUACUUUUUCUCAUCGUCUAUUUGUAUGUUUCCUAAGAAACAGACUUUUUCUGUAUGCUCCAGAAGUGCCAAACUAGUGGCAACAGACUGACUCCUCUUAGCCACAACAUCGUGGCUCACUCAUAACGCUUAGACUUGAAAGUAGAACAGGUUGCCCGGAGAAGUGGUGGAGUCUCCUUCUAUGGAGAUAUUCAAGACCAGCCUGGACGCCCACCUG